GGCUGUGGGUCAGAGGUAGAGCGGGUCGGCCUUCAACCACAAGAUUGGCGGUUCGAUCCCAUCUUCCGGCCG
rnacentral:tRNA from 1 species